GGCCGCGGGAAUUCGAUUGGAUCGCCCUUAGAGUUUGAUCAUGGCUCAGGAUGAACGCUAGCGGCAGGCCUAACACAUGCAAGUCGAGGGGCAGCACAGGUAGCAAUACCGGGUGGCGACCGGCGCACGGGUGCGUAACGCGUAUGCAACCUACCAUUGAUCAGGACAUAGCCCGAAGAAAUUCGGAUUAAUAUCCUAUAAUAUUCAUUAAAGGCAUCUUUUAUGAAUUAAAGCUAUUGCGAUCAUUGAUGGGCAUGCGUGACAUUAGUUAGUUGGUGAGGUAACAGCUCACCAAGACUAUGAUGUCUAGGGGUUCUGAGAGGAUUAUCCCCCACACUGGUACUGAGACACGGACCAGACUCCUACGGGAGGCAGCAGUGAGGAAUAUUGGUCAAUGGACGAAAGUCUGAACCAGCCAUGCCGCGUGCAGGAUGACGGCCCUAUGGGUUGUAAACUGCUUUUCUACGGGAAGAACCCCCCGACGUGUCGGGGACUGACGGUACCGUGGGAAUAAGCAUCGGCUAACUCCGUGCCAGCAGCCGCGGUAAUACGGAGGAUGCAAGCGUUAUCCGGAUUUAUUGGGUUUAAAGGGUGCGUAGGCGGACUAUUAAGUCAGUGGUGAAAUCCCCCGGCUCAACCAGGGAACUGCCAUUGAUACUGCUAGUCUAGAGUACAGUUGAAGUAGGCGGAAUGUAGCAUGUAGCGGUGAAAUGCAUAGAUAUGCUACAGAACACCGAUAGCGAAGGCAGCUUGCUAAGCUGUAACUGA
rnacentral:rRNA from 1 species